UACAGGGGGGGCAAGCGUUGUUCGGAAUUACUGGGCGUAAUGGGUUUGUAGGGGGCUUGUUAAGUCAGACGUGAAAUCCCUCAGCUUAACUGGGGAACUGCGUCUGAUACUGAUGAGCUUGAGUGCAGGAGAGGAACGCGGAAUUCCAGGUGUAGCGGUGAAAUGCGCAGAUAUCAGGAGGAACACCAGCGGCGAAGGCGGUGCUCUGGGCCGGAACUGACGCUGAGGAGCGAAAGCGUGGGGAGCGAACAGG
rnacentral:rRNA from 1 species